AUGUGUGUGGUGCGUCCUGGGAUGUCUGUGGAGAGGGCCCGACCACCCUUUUAUUUUUCAUCCAUUGUAACCACAUACCUCAAAUAUCACACUAUAAAUCCAUAUUACAUCAUGCAACACAAAAGCUACAUACCUAGAAACUAUCCUUCUACUACUUGUCAUCGGAGACCUUUGUGUCGGCAGUACCGGAUAGACCGACCUCCUGGUCGUUGGCCGCCGCGUGCAACUUCGGCUCCUCGUCUGACUCCAUGUCUACGAAGAGUUCGUCGCGCUCUGUCUGCACCUCACGUUGGAAGCGACGGUUGGCCCUCCACCUCCGCCUCUGGCUGGAUGGAGUCGAGGAUGGCCUGCUACUCCACCGCCUCCUCCGCUUGCGCGUCGCCCAUGACGAAUCUAGGAGCCGAGGACGCCAGAUUUGCCUUGUGUUCCUCCUCUUCCUCCUCCAUGUCCGCGUCCAGCACCUGUUCCUUCUCCUCAUCCUCCUCCUCUAGCAGGUUGGCUACAAUUCAAGCAGCGUGUCGGGCCUGGAUCUCCGCUAGGAGCACCAACCGGCGCUCCAAAAUAAGCAUGAUGUAG
rnacentral:rRNA from 1 species